GGGUGCGUAACACGUGAGCAAUCUGCCGAUCUCUGGGGGAUAGCCGGCCCAACGGCCGGGUAAUACCGCAUACGAUCACCGAGGGGAGUCCCUUGGUGAUGAAACCUCCGGGGGAGAUCGAGGAGCUCGCGCCCUAUCAGCUAGUUGGUGAGGUAAUGGCUCACCAAGGCUACGACGGGUAGCUGGUCUGAGAGGAUGGCCAGCCACAUUGGGACUGCGACACGGCCCAGACUCCUACGGGAGGCAGCAGUGGGGAAUAUUGCGCAAUGGACGAAAGUCUGACGCAGCGACGCCGCGUGUGGGAUGAAGCCUUUCGGGGUGUAAACCACUGUUGCCCGGGACGAAACUCCUUUUUCGAGAGGAUUGACGGUACCGGGUGAGGAAGCACCGGCUAACUCUGUGCCAGCAGCCGCGGUAAUACAGAGGGUGCGAGCGUUGUCCGGAAUCACUGGGCGUAAAGGGCGCGUAGGUGGCGGGAUAAGUGUGUGGUGAAAGCUCGGGGCUCAACCCCGAGUCUGCCAUGCAGACUGUCUUGCUCGAGCAUAGUAGAGGCAGGUGGAAUUCCGGGUGUAGCGGUGGAAUGCGUAGAGAUCCGGAAGAACACCGGUGGCGAAGGCGGCCUGCUGGGCUAUUGCUGACACUGAGGCGCGACAGC
rnacentral:rRNA from 1 species